GACGAACGCUGGCGGCGUGCUUAACACAUGCAAGUCGAGCGGCGCGGCGAACGGGUGGGUAACGCGUGAGUAACUGCCCCCCUCUCUGGGAUAACAGUUGGAAACGGCUGCUAAUACCGGAUAGUGGGGGAUGACUCGCGUCUUAUCAGCUGGUUGGUGGGGUAGUGGCCUACCAAGGGGACGACGGGUGGCCGGCCUGGGAGGGCGACCGGCCACCUUGGGCUGCGAUACGGCCCAAACUCCUACGGGGGGCAGCAGUGGGGACUAUUGCACGAUGGGGGAAACCCGGAUGCAGCAACGCGCGUGCGGGAUGACGGCCUUCGGGUUGUAAACCGCUUUCAGCAAUGACGCGGUAGUGGCAGAGGAAGCACCGGCUAACUACGUGCCAGCAGCCGCGGUAAUUC
rnacentral:rRNA from 1 species